AUUAAAGCCAGAUGGCCCGCUCUAUUUGAGCCGUCUCACAUCCAGGAUGAGUUUCACAGAAUCACAAUGGUGCAUCUUGAAUCAAAGAUCAUGUCCAAACUGGAUGAAUAUACUCCUCGACUUCUGAACCUCUUCCACUCCAAGGGCGGAACCAUGGAGUUGAGGUUGCAGGCUAUCCUACUCGAGACUCCAAGCAAUCCUGACAUCAACAUGACCAGAGAUGUUACCAUUUGAUGUUUGAUGAUGUACCUUGGGGAAUCUACAGAUCAACUCUUACAAGAGUAUGAUGAUGCUGAUGAAGACAGUGUGUCACAGGACCUUGCUGUUCAAAGCCUGAAGAUCUACAACAUCAAAGCUAACACGUCAGAGGAUCCAGACAUCGGUAUCGUGGUGGACAGCGUGAAAAUUCUAACUGCUCUGGGUAACUUUAAAAGGGCUUGCUCCCUGCUUGUUGGAUUGGUGUAUGCUAUGAGUCUUGCCUAUCCAAAGAAGCUCAGAUACACGUUUGAAGUGUUUCAGAAACUUCUCCUCGGACUGGAUAGUUCAAAGCUCUCCACAAAAGUGAACAGCCUCAGGAAUAAACUAAUGGCUUAAGAAAACGGACCCUUACUAAACAAAAGGGAAUAGACAAGCCACUGUCAAAACCAACACGCAAAACUUUGUGACAUGCUCUGUGAAGUUAGUUAAAAUUUGGGUAAUUUUCAGUUCAGUGGAUUUCUGCAUGUGUAUUUUUUCUUGCAGUACAUUACAGUUAACUAGCCUUUCUAAGGACUGACCCCUUGUUCUCAUAUGUGGUAGUGCGGCCUGUUAUAUGGCUUUGGAUCUGUUCAGGUCUGUCACAUGAA